rfam:Heligmosomoides polygyrus genome assembly, scaffold: HPBE_contig0004586
GCGUCGGUCGUUUAAUGGCGUAGAGCAUUCCCGCUCGGCCAGCAGCAGAUGCGGGUUCGAGUCCCGUCUGGCGCU